GAACGCACCUUGCGCCCUUUGGCUAUUCCGAAGGGCAUGCCUGUUUGAGUAUCAUGAGCACCUCAACUCUCGUGGCUUUGCCCAUGAUGAGCUUGGACUUUGGGGGUCUUGCUGGUCUAUAGUCAGCUCCUCUAAAAUGAAUCAGCUUGCCAGUGUUUGGUGGCGUCGCAGGUGUGAUAAAUAUCUAUGCUUGUGGAUUUCCAUCAGAUAACCUUCAGUGAUGAAGGUUCACUGGGGCUCACAAAUGUCUCUCCUCAGUGGAGAUGGCUCUUUUGAAUGUUUGAUCUCAAAUCAGGUAGGACUACCCGCUGAACUUAAG
rnacentral:misc_RNA from 1 species